rnacentral:lncRNA from 1 species
AGUUAAAGGGUGGGGUUUAGGAUUUAGGGUUUAGGAUUUAGGGUUUAGGGUUUAAGGUUUAGAGUUUAGGGUUUAGGGUUUAGAUUUUAGGGUUUAGGGUUUAGGGUUUAGGGUUUAGGGUUUAGGGUUUAGAGUUUAGAAUUUAGGGUUUAGGGUUUAUGGUUUAUGGUUUAGAGUUUAGGGUUUAGGGUUUAGAGUUUAGGGUUUAGGGUUUAGAAAUGAGGUUUUGGGAUAAGAUUUC